rnacentral:rRNA from 1 species
ACCUGCGAUGCAUUAGCUAGUUGGUAAGGGUAACGGGCUUACCAAGGCGAUGAUGCAUAGCCCGAGUUGAGAGACUGAUCGGGCCACAUUGGGACUGAGACACGGGCCCAAACUCCUACGGGAGGCAGCAGUAGGGGGAAUCUUCCACAAUGGACGAAAAGUCUGAUGGAGCAAACGCCGCGUGAGUGAAGAAGGUUUUCGGAUCGUAAAAAGCUCUGUUGUUGGUGAAGAAGGAUAGAGGUAGUAACUGGCCCUUUUAUUUGACGGUAAUCAACCCAGAAAGUCACGGGCUAACUACGUGCCCAGCAGCCGCGGUAAAU